UGACCUCAACUCAGGCAAGACUACCCGCUGAACUUAAGCAUAUCAGUAAGCGGAGGAAAAGAAAACAACUGUGAUUCCCUUAGUAACGGCGAGUGAAGCGGGAAAAGCCCAUCGUUGAAUCUCCCGGGGCCUAGCCCAGGGCGAGUUGUGACGGUAUGGAUUGGCUUUCUAGUGUGGCGCGCCGACCAAAGUCCUCCGGAUUGAGGCGCCAAAGAGGGUGACAGCCCCGUAGACGGUCGGCGCAAAGCGCGUAUGUUACCAACUCCUAGAGUCGGGUUGUUUGGGAUUGCAACCUAAAGCAGGUGGUAAACUCCAUCUAAGGCUAAAUAUGGACACGAAACCGAUAGCGAACAAGUACCGUGAGGGAAAGUUGAAAAGAACCCUGAAAAGAGAGUUAAAAGUACGUGAAACCGCUAACGGGGAAGCGGAAGGCAGUGUCGAGACUGUGCGUGGUGGGCGGUCAAUUGCGGCCGUCAGCUGCGUGUAGUGCGUCAGGCCUGCUGGUGGGCGUGCGGAAGCGAGGCAUGGCUCUCGUAGGCUCUUAGGACUCUACGUUUGCGGCCCUGUGAAAGCGCGCGUGCUGGCAUGUUUGUGGAGAAGCGCCGGCGGCCAUCUUUGGAAGGUCGGUUGAUGCUUGGGGGUGCUGCGUCGUGUCUAAAGUUUGGGCACGGCGUCGUGGCUUCUGAGGUCGACAGUCGGCGCUAGACCCUGACGAGAUACCCAACUUUCCGACCCGUCUUGAAACACGGACCAAGGAGGCAGAAAAUGGAGCGAGUUAGAGGGUGGAAAACCCGACGGCGCAGUGAAAGCAAGAGGUGGGAUCUGUCGGCCUCGGCUGGCAGCGCACCACCGGCCGGUCAUUCGUGAUCGAGUUGGAGCUCCAUUUGCUGGACCCGAAAGAUGGUGAACUAUGCGUGAGCAGGGUGAAGCCAGAGGAAACUCUGGUGGAAGCUCGAAGCGAUUCUGACGUGCAAAUCGAUCGUUUGACUUGCGUGUGGGGGCGAAAGACUAAUCGAACCAUCUAGUAGCUGGUUCCCUUCGAAAUAUCCCUCAGGAUCGCUGAGACAGGUGGGAGACAGUUUCAUCGGGUAGAGCGAAUGAUUAGAGGACUCGGGGACAUAUUACUCUCGACCUAUUCUCAAACUACCAACCGGUGAGAUUGCCGUUUACUUGUGUGAAACGGCACGUGGAAUGUCUCUGUCUCAAGUGGGCCAUUUUUGGUAAGCAGAACUGGCGAUGCGGGAUGAACCGAGAGCCGAGCUAAGGUGCCUAAGAGCACGUCCAUAGAUACCACAAAAGGAGUCGGUCGAUGAAGACAGCAGGACGGUGGCCCUGAAAGUAGGCAUCCGCUAAGGAGUGUCUAAUAACUCACCUGCCGAAUCGACGGGCCCUGAAAAUGGAUGGCGCUGAAGCGUGCCACCGAUGCUCGGCCUUUACCUCGAGAAAUGCAGGUAAGGGGUAGAAGGGCGCGACGGUAGCGAUAAAGUGCAAAGCGCGAGCUUGCAUGGAGCUGCCGCCGGUGUAGAUCUUGGUGGUAGUAGCAACUAUAAAAGUGAGUAAAAACCUUUUAGGCCGAAGUGGAGAAGGGUUCCACGUGAACAGCAGUUGGACGUGGGUUAGUCGGUCCUAAGCGGUUGCCUAAAGGCUAUUUCAACGCAGACUUUGUCUGAGUUCCGCGAAAGGGAAUCAGGUUAAUAUUCCUGAACUGGGCGUCGGAGACGCGGUCCUCGACGCAAGAAGAGGGCCGCUUAGCGGUAACGCAAGCAAUAUCGGAGACGCUGAUGACUGUGGCGGGGAGAAUUAUCUUUUCUGCAUAACAAGCAAACACCUUGGAAUUGAGUCGCUCAGAGAUAGGGUGCAACGCUUGGAAGAGCGCCGCAAUUACUGCGGCGUCCGCACUGCAGGGAUCAGCCCUUGAAAAUCCGAUGGAGUGGUUGAAUUUCGCGCCUAUCCGUACCGAAUCCGCAUCAGGUCUCCAAGGUGUGCAGCCUCUGGCACUGGAACAAUGUAGGUAAGGGAAGUCGGCAAAAUAGAUCCGUAACUUUGGGAAAAGGAUUGGCUCUAAGGGCCGGGCCAGUCGAGCUAGCAUUGCCUAGGCUAGUGGGGUCGCCGAACGGGGCUUCUUCGGGAGUCAAGUGAGGCACACGCUGGCCCUGGAAUGCCUGCGUGGAGGGGCUUUCGGGCGCCUCCUUUGCGAGUGGCGAGUAUCGGUCAGCUUAGAACUGUUACUGACAUGGGGAAUCCGACUGUUUAAUUAAAACAAAGCAUUGCGAUGGCCUUAACAGGUGUUGACGCAAUGUGAUUUCUGCCCAGUGCUCUGAAUGUCAAAGUGCGGAGACGCAACCAAGCGCGGGUAAACGGCUGGGGUAACUAUGACUCUCUUAAGGUAGCCAAAUGCCUCGUCAUCUAAUUAGUGACGCGCAUGAAUGGAUCAACGAGAUUCCUACUGUCCCUACCUACCAUCCAGCGAAACCACAGUCAAGGGAACGGGCUUGACUGAGACAGCGGGGAAAGAAGACCCUGUUGAGCUUGACUCUAGUUUGAUAUUGUGAGAAGACAUGAGGGGUGUAGCAUAAGUGGGAGACGGCUUUCGGGUCGUCGACGGUGAAAUACCACUACUUUCAUAGUUUUCACACUAAGUCGGUGGCACGGGAGAUACCCGCCAAUGGCGGGUGGAUUCGCGGCUAUAAGGCAGACUGAUCUGCUGACCCAUCGCCGAUGACAGAAUCAGAUG
rnacentral:rRNA from 1 species